AAAAUCACGAUAAAAAGGAAAGUAAAUCUUACACUGCAAUCAUCAGAGAGUUCCCAUUUGCUGAAAGGGAACAUUGAAAGAAAGAUUGAAAAUGGCCUUGGAGUGGUGGCAUCGAUAUUGAGGUGUCAACGGGAUCGCCCGUUAUAGCGAUACAGUAUUAAAGUCUCUUUAGUGAUGAUGGCGUACUGGAAUUUGUUCACCAAUUUUACUGCCAUUAUAUCUUCUUGUAGGAGACUCGUACUUAUAGAGGUAAUGUCAGUAAUGUCAUUGCGAACAAAGGUGGUACCGCGAGCUAAGCUUUCGUCCUUUAC
rnacentral:ncRNA from 1 species